rnacentral:rRNA from 1 species
UACAGAGGGGGCAAGCGUUGUUCGGAAUUACUGGGCGUAAAGCGUGCGCAGGCGGUUCUAUAAGACAGAUGUGAAAUCCCCGGGCUUAACCUGGGAACUGCGUUUGUGACUGUAGGACUCGAGUGUGGCAGAGGGGGUGGAAGUUCCACGGUGUAGCAGUGAAAUGCGUAGAUAUGUGGAGGAACAUCGAUGGCGAAGGCAGCCCCUGGGUCAACACUGACGCUCAUGCACGAAAGCGUGGGGAGCAAACAGG